rnacentral:rRNA from 1 species
UACGUAGGGGGCAAGCGUUGUCCGGAUUUAUUGGGCGUAAAGAGCGUGUAGGCGGCCAGAUAGGUCCGUUGUGAAAACUGGAGGCUUAACCUCCAGACGUCGACGGAAACCGUGUGGCUAGAGUCCGGAAGAGGAGAGUGGAAUUCCUGGUGUAGCGGUGAAAUGCGCAGAUAUCAGGAAGAACACCAAUGGCGAAGGCAGCUCUCUGGGACGGUACUGACGCUGAGACGCGAAAGCGUGGGGAGCGAACAGG